rnacentral:rRNA from 1 species
GACGAACGCUGGCGGCGUGCUUAACACAUGCCAGUCGAACGGAAAGGCCCUGCUUUUGUGGGGUGCUCGAGUGGCGAACGGGUGAGUAACACGUGAGUAACCUGCCCUUGACUUUGGGAUAACUUCAGGAAACUGGGGCUAAUACCGGAUAGGAGCUCCUGCUGCAUGGUGGGGGUUGGAAAGUUUCGGCGGUUGGGGAUGGACUCGCGGCUUAUCAGCUUGUUGGUGGGGUAGUGGCUUACCAAGGCUUUGACGGGUAGCCGGCCUGAGAGGGUGACCGGCCACAUUGGGACUGAGAUACGGCCCAGACUCCUACGGGAGGCAGCAGUGGGGAAUAUUGCACAAUGGGCGGAAGCCUGAUGCCGCAACGCCGCGUGCGGGAUGACGGCCUUCGGGUUGUAAACCGCUUUCGCCUGUGACGAAGCGUGAGUGACGGUAAUGGGUAAAGAAGCACCGGCUAACUACGUG